UUGAUUCGAUUUCGUGUGUUGGGCCUUUUUUCACUCACGGCCCUAUAGACGUUGCGGCUUGCUCUAACCCUAGAUCGUUGAAUAUGCACGUCUCUCCCUUCUUCUGCGCCGGCGACGAGUGACGAUUGAUCUGCUUAACCAUUUAUGAAACUGGCUGAGUUAUAGUGCGUCUUAAUUUCUCUUCAUUCAAUCGCCCACUCUGCAUUCUUGACUGAGGCGUUCUUCACUCUGAGACGGUGUCAGAUCCGUAUAAAUAUAGUUUUCUUCUCGGACUGGAAGACCGGUGGUUGCUCAUCCGUCGUCGAGGCUAGACUGCUGCGUUUCUGGGAGCCGAGAAAUGUCAAGCGUGGUGGUGAGAUCAUGUGGGACGAUGUGCUUCUGAUUGACGUGAAUUCAACUAUGAUGCAGGCCACCAUCAAUGCUCAUCGGCUUUCAAAAUUCUGGGAGAGGCUCGCCGCCGGAUAAAUAUAUUCCCUCUCCGGUUUUGACAUCGGUUUUGACGUGGCCCGAUGUACUCAAAACUUCAGACUUACCGACUCACCUCUGUUGAUUCGGUUCAAUGAUAAUACAUAAUUUGAUGACAUAACCGAACCGGUCUCACCGUUGCCUAAGAAGGUUUCCGGUUCCGUAACCAAGCCGAGCUGGUUGGAUUAGCUGACACCAACACACAGCUUCCAGGUGAGAUCACUGCUGUUAAGAGUACAGUGAAUGAACCUCCAGAGGAUAAGAAUCGUGUCGUGGCAACUAUCAAGAUGGAAAAAUGGGUACAACAGAUCAACAAGGCAAACUGUGGUCACCUUACUCCCCAUGAGUUGAAAGAAAGAUAAGUUAGAUUCUAAGGAACAAUUCUACCUUUUUCUGUUUAGAGAGAACCAAUAAGUUUAGCUCUUCUUUUUUUCCCUUCUUGCAGCCAGGCUAGGGAAUGCAAGACCGGCGAUCUAAAAAAUUCUCACAGAUUCUGAAAUGAGACAUGUUUUGUCUGAUCUGUGACUGAAACUUACCAGAACGCUCUCACGAAGCAAUGUAACCCUAACACAUUGAAAAUGUUGAAUGAGGCUAAGAGAUUGGUGGUUCUGGUGUUUGCUUCUCAGAUUGUUUUAGUGUUUGAAUGUAGAGUAAGGAAUUAACAUCUUGAAUGUGAUUGAAUGUGGACUCAAAUCUUGGGUGUGCUUUAUGAACAGACAGGUUUCUAUGGAACAAGGAUCCUAUGGCAAUGAUCUUAUAUAUGAGAACUGGAUAGAUCAUCAGUCUUUUCAUAUGCUAUCACUAACCUCUAAAAAUUUAGUUCAGAUCAAUUAUGACUUAAUAUUUUUUAUAUCAAAUAACUUGCUCUUUUAUUUCUCUCUGUUUCAGGCAAUAGCUUUGAUUGGAGACUGGAAGCAGGAAAUCUAUAAUAAAAUUGCAAUGUGCAGAGGUUUCACGAUUUUGAUCACGUCAGCCAAGCUAGCAACGAUUUGUUCAAUGAAACCAUCGUAACAAAACAUUACUUGUGGAAGAGGAUAAGCUUCUGAAACUGCAUCUGAGCUAUCUAAUGCUCAUGGCUUUUUAGUGGACUACAACAUAUAUCUUUAACGGCACUUGAAGCAAUGCGCAGCUUUAAUUUCCAGAUUCAUACUACACAUGAAUGAUGAACAUGUAUCGAGUGUUGCGAGCAUAUGUUACAAUGAUAUGUGAAAAAGGAGUUCAAUUA